rnacentral:rRNA from 1 species
GACGAACGCUGGCGGCGUGCUUAACACAUGCAAGUCGAACGGAAAGGCCCUGCUUUUGUGGGGUGCUCGAGUGGCGAACGGGUGAGUAACACGUGAGUAACCUGCCCUUGACUUUGGGAUAACUUCAGGAAACUGGGGCUAAUACCGGAUAGGAGCUCCUGCUGCAUGGUGGGGGUUGGAAAGUUUCGGCGGUUGGGGAUGGACUCGCGGCUUAUCAGCUUGUUGGUGGGGUAGUGGCUUACCAAGGCUUUGACGGGUAGCCGGCCUGAGAGGGUGACCGGCCACAUUGGGACUGAGAUACGGCCCAGACUCCUACGGGAGGCAGCAGUGGAAUAUUGCACAAUGGGCGGAAGCCUGAUGCAGCAACGCCGCGUGCGGGAUGACGGCCUUCGGGUUGUAAACCGCUUUCGCCUGUGACGAAGCGUGAGUGACGGUAAUGGGUAAAGAAGCACCGGCUAACUACGUG